UCAACAGCGAUUACUACAGAUAUAAAUGAUGGAGCUACAACAUCUUUUUUUGCAGAAACAGAUGAAGAGUUAAUGCAGCUUUUAGACACCGAAAAUUCAUCAUUAGUGCCAGGUUCGUCUAGACAUGAAUUUUCAGGUAAUUAUAUCAUUAUUAUUGGGUUACUAUAUAAUAUAUUUGAUGUCAUAUAUUUUCAAUGAAAAUAUAAUAUUUUACAUAAUGUGAUUUAUAUAACUUAUAGAAUAUUCUAAAGAGCCAAUCAUCAUUCAACAUCAUCAUUCCAGCUCUUCAAUUACUGCAACGCCUGUUACCCCUACAACCCUCAAAGAUGCUACAUUUACUAAUGAAGAUUUUCAGUCGUUUGUUAAAACCAAUCUCACCAAUUUAAAGUAUGAACUUAAAAGUAUGGCUUUCUCUAUAGAAACUGUAAAAAAUAUGAUGGCACAACAUGUGGAACAUUAUUCUACAUUGCAUCAAAU